CCGCGCGCGGCGGGCCUACGGGAGGCAGCAGUGGGGAAUAUUGCACAAUGGGCGCAAGCCUGAUGCAGCCAUGCCGCGUGUAUGAAGAAGGCCUUCGGGUUGUAAAGUACUUUCAGCGGGGAGGAAGGUGUUGAGGUUAAUAACCUCAGCAAUUGACGUUACCCGCAGAAGAAGCACCGGCUAACUCCGUGCCAGCAGCCGCGGUAAUA
rnacentral:rRNA from 1 species